AUUUUGUUUAUGUAUAAAUUUAUUGCUAGUUUUCUCUUAAAGCGUCUAAAGCAUACAUUAUGGUCUUAUAACAUUUGAAUAUAGAUGUUCAGCUGGUUAGGUUUGAAUCACCGUUCAAGUGUGGCGAAAGUAUAAAUCAAUAAUCGCAAACAGUAAACAUAUACAUCUAUAAUUUCACAUUACAUUGUAGUCAUUAUUGAUAACAGAUUAAUAUCAGACGAAAUCAAAAUAUAAAAUGGUUCAUUGUUGUUUACUUCCAUUUACAUGACAUGACACAUUUAUAUGCAAAAAUACAAGAUAAAAAAAAACUAAAAUAAACGAGCAGUACGGAAUAUGCUAUAUUGGAGUUGGCAUCACUGGUUGUAGUUCUGUUGAGGUGUAAUAACAGUCUGAUCAGUUCAUAAAACACAUAUGGUAAUUGAGGGCAAGUCUUUAAGUGCAUAAAACAAAGUUGACCAGAGAACAGACUUAAUAGUAGCCGUAGCCUCCGUAGAGUCCACCGCCGUAGCCUCCAAGACCGAAGCCUCCGAGUCCUCCGUAGCCGCCGAGACCUCCGUAGCCGCCAUAGAGUCCGCCAAGGCCUCCGCCAAGGCCUCCGCCAAGGCCUCC